CCUGGUUGAUCCUGCCAG
rnacentral:ncRNA from 2 species